rnacentral:rRNA from 1 species
GACGAACGCUGGCGGCGUGCCUAAUACAUGCAAGUUGAGCGCUGAAGGUUGGUACUUGUACCAACUGGAUGAGCAGCGAACGGGUGAGUAACGCGUGGGGAAUCUGCCUUUGAGCGGGGGACAACAUUUGGAAACGAAUGCUAAUACCGCAUAAAAACUUUAAACACAAGUUUUAAGUUUGAAAGAUGCAAUUGCAUCACUCAAAGAUGAUCCCGCGUUGUAUUAGCUAGUUGGUGAGGUAAAGGCUCACCAAGGCGAUGAUACAUAGCCGACCUGAGAGGGUGAUCGGCCACAAUGGGACUGAGACACGGCCCAAACUCCUACAGGAGGCAGCAGUAGGGAAUCUUCGGCAAUGGACGAAAGUCUGACCGAGCAACGCCGCGUGAGUGAAGAAGGUUUUCGGAUCGUAAAACUCUGUUGGUAGAGAAGAACGUUGGUGAGAGUGGAAAGCUCAUCAAGUGACGGUAACUAACCAGAAAGGGACGGCUAACUACGUG